AACUUCUCAACCGCAUCAAAUGAUGUUGGCUUGGAUGUGGGGGUUGUUUUUGCAGGCUUUCUGUAGAAGGUCGGCUCCCCUGAAAUGGAUUAGUGGUAUCUGAGGCUACUGCUAUGGGUGUGAUAACUAUCUAUGCCUUUGGUAUGCCGCAUGAACAGAUUACACUGCUUCUUAACAAAACAAAAUUUGAUAA
rnacentral:misc_RNA from 1 species